GACGAACGCUGGCGGCGUGCUUAACACAUGCAAGUCGAACGGUGAAGCGCUUGCCUUUUUGGUGGGUGUGGAUGAGUGGCGAACGGGUGAGUAACACGUGAGUAACCUGCCCUCUUCUUCUGGAUAACCUCAUGAAAGUGGGGCUAAUACGGGGUAUUCCGGGUCUGUCGCAUGGCGGGUUUGGGAAAGAUUGCGCCUUUGGGUGUUUUCGGUGGGGGAUGGGCUCGCGGCCUAUCAGCUUGUUGGUGGGGUGAUGGCCUACCAAGGCGGUGACGGGUAGCCGGCCUGAGAGGGUGGACGGCCACACUGGGACUGAGACACGGGCCAGACUCCUGCGGGAGGAGGCAGUGGGGAAUAUUGCACAAUGGGCGCAAGCCUGAUGCAGCGACGCCGCGUGAGGGAUGGAGGCCUUCGGGUUGUGAACCUCUUUCGCCAGUGAAGCAGGCCUGCUCCUGUGUGGGUGGGUUGACGGUAGCUGGAUAAGAAGCGCCGGCUAACUACGUG
rnacentral:rRNA from 1 species